rnacentral:rRNA from 1 species
ACCAACAGGGAUUCCCCUAGUAACGGCGAGUGAAGCGGGAACAGCUCAAAUUUGAAAUCUGGCCUUCGGGUCCGAAUUGUAAUUUGCAGAGGAUGCUUUUGGUUAGGUACUUUCCGAGUUCCCUGGAACGGGACGCCUUAGAGGGUGAGAGCCCCGUACGGUUGGAUACCGAGCCUUUGUAAAGCUCCUUCGACGAGUCGAGUAGUUUGGGAAUGCUGCUCUAAAUGGGAGGUAAAUUUCUUCUAAAGCUAAAUACCGGCCAGAGACCGAUAGCGCACAAGUAGAGUGAUCGAAAGAUGAAAAGCACUUUGAAAAGAGGGUUAAAUAGCACGUGAAAUUGUUGAAAGGGAAGCGUUUAUGACCAGACUUUUUCCAGGCGGAUCAUCCGGUGUUCUCACCGGUGCACUUCGUCUGGUUGAGGCCAGCAUCGGUUUUCGUAGAGGGAUAAAAGCAGUAGGAAUGUGAUUCCUCCGGGAAUGUUAUAGCCUAUUGUAUAAUACCUUUAUGGGGACCGAGGUUCGCGCUCUGCAAGGAUGCUGGCGUAAUGGUCAUCAACGACCCGUCUUGAAACACGGACCAAGGAGUCGAACAUUUGUGCGAGUGUUUGGGUGUUAAACCCUCACGCGUAAUGAAAGUGAACGGAGGUGAGAGCCCUUACGGGUGCAUCAUCGACCGAUCCUGAUGUUUUCGGAUGGAUUUGAGUAAGAGCAUAACUGUUCGGACCCGAAAGAUGGUGAACUAUGCGUGGAUAGGGUGAAGCCAGAGGAAACUCUGGUGGAGGCUCGCAGCGGUUCUGACGUGCAAAUCGAUCGUCAAAUCUGCGCAUGGGGGCGAAAGACUAAUCGAACCAUCUAG